rnacentral:rRNA from 1 species
CCGGCGCACGGGGUGAGUAACACGUAUGCAACCUGGCCGUCACAGGUGGAUAACCGGAAGAAAUUCCGACUAAUACAGCAUAACACUCCUGAGGGACAUCCUUCGGGAGUCAAAGGAGGCAACUCCGGUGACGGAUGGGCAUGCGGCGCAUUAGGUAGUUGGUAGGGUAACGGCCUACCAAGCCGACGAUGCGUAGGGGUUCUGAGAGGAAGGUCCCCCACAUUGGAACUGAGACACGGUCCAAACUCCUACGGAAGGCAGCAG